UUAUACAAAUGGUACGAUCGUUGUCUAUGCCCCAACAGUUGGUUUUGUUCAUUUCGAAAACGUACACGAAUCCAACAACUCGUCAAAUCACAUCAGAUAUCGAUUGAAAAUGACUAAGCUACAAGUUUUCUGUAUUUUUGCGGUGACUAUUUGCAUUGUUAUAAACAAUGUAAAAUGCGCAACGGAAGGCGAAUGUUGUGAUCAGAUUUGUAAGACCAACCACAUACUUAGAUAUUUAAAUGACGAUCAAAAAUACCAACUGGUCAACGGUCUCAUU